rnacentral:rRNA from 1 species
UACGGAGGGUGCAAGCGUUAUCCGGAUUCACUGGGUUUAAAGGGUGCGUAGGCGGGCAUGUAAGUCAGUGGUGAAAUCUCCGGGCUUAACUCGGAAACUGCCGUUGAUACUACUUGUCUUGAAUAUCAUGGAGGUAAGCGGAAUAUGUCAUGUAGCGGUGAAAUGCUUAGAUAUGACAUAGAACACCGAUAGCGAAGGCAGCUUACUACAUGUUCAUUGACGCUGAGGCACGAAAGCGUGGGGAGCAAACAGG